rnacentral:rRNA from 1 species
GAUGAACGCUAGCUACAGGCUUAACACAUGCAAGUCGAGGGGAAACGGCAUCGAAAGCUUGCUUUUGAUGGGCGUCGACCGGCGCACGGGUGAGUAACGCGUAUCCAACCUGCCCAUCACUUGGGAAUAACCUUGCGAAAGUAAGACUAAUGCCCAAUGACAUCCCACGAAGGCAUCCGAAUGGGAUUAAAGAUUUAUCGGUGAUGGAUGGGGAUGCGUCUGAUUAGCUUGUUGGCGGGGUGACGGCCCACCAAGGCAACGAUCAGUAGGGGUUCUGAGAGGAAGGUCCCCCACAUUGGAACUGAGACACGGUCCAAACUGCUACGGGAGGCAGCAGUGAGGAAUAUUAGUCAAUGGGCGAGAGCCUGAACCAGCCAAGUAGCGUGCAGGAUGACGGCCCUAUGGGUUGUAAACUGCUUUUAUAAGGGAAUAAAGUGGGUCACGUGUGACUUUUUGCAUGUACCUUAUGAAUAAGGACCGGCUAAUUCCGU